CCGCCAUGAUGGAGGCUCCCCUCCCAGGUAACAGGAGCUGUGGACGGGUCUGCUCCGGGCUGACACUGCUGGAUGUGCGGGGAGGUUCAUGGCGUCCUGGGCCGCGGUCUGUGGGAAGGUCCCGGGCCGCGGGUUACUCCUCCAGCAGCCGGUGACCGCUCUCCUGACCUGUAAUAUACGGUUCUGACUCCAGGAGGAGAAGUCCCCCC